UACGGGGGGGCAAGCGUUGUUCGGAAUUACUGGGCGUAAAGGGCUCGUAGGCGGCCAACUAAGUCGGAUGUGAAAUCCCCAGGCUCAACCUGGGAACUGCAUCCGAUACUGGAUGGCUUGAAUUCGGGAGAGGGAUGCAGAAUUCCAGGUGUAGCGGUGAAAUGCGUAGAUAUCUGGAGGAAUACCGGUGGCGAAGGCGGCAUCCUGGACCGACAUUGACGCUGAGGAGCGAAAGCCAGGGGAGCAAAGCGGG
rnacentral:rRNA from 1 species